rnacentral:rRNA from 1 species
CCUUUUGUAUAAUGGGUCAGCGACUUAUAUUCUGUAGCAAGGUUAACCGAAUAGGGGAGCCGAAGGGAAACCGAGUCUUAACUGGGCGUUAAGUUGCAGGGUAUAGACCCGAAACCCGGUGAUCUAGCCAUGGGCAGGUUGAAGGUUGGGUAACACUAACUGGAGGACCGAACCGACUAAUGUUGAAAAAUUAGCGGAUGACUUGUGGCUGGGGGUGAAAGGCCAAUCAAACCGGGAGAUAGCUGGUUCUCCCCGAAAGCUAUUUAGGUAGCGCCUCGUGAAUUCAUCUCCGGGGGUAGAGCACUGUUUCGGCAAGGGGGUCAUCCCGACUUACCAACCCGAUGCAAACUGCGAAUACCGGAGAAUGUUAUCACGGGAGACACACGGCGGGUGCUAACGUCCGUCGUGAAGAGGGAAACAACCCAGACCGCCAGCUAAGGUCCCAAAGUCAUGGUUAAGUGGGAAACGAUGUGGGAAGGCCCAGACAGCCAGGAUGUUGGCUUAGAAGCAGCCAUCAUUUAAAGAAAGCGUAAUAGCUCACUGGUCGAGUCGGCCUGCGCGGAAGAUGUAACGGGGCUAAACCAUGCACCGAAGCUGCGGCAGCGACGCUGAUGCGUUGUUGGGUAGGGGAGCGUUCUGUAAGCCUGCGAAGGUGUGCUGUGAGGCAUGCUGGAGGUAUCAGAAGUGCGAAUGCUGACAUAAGUAACGAUAAAGCGGGUGAAAAGCCCGCUCGCCGGAAGACCAAGGGUUCCUGUCCAACGUUAAUCGGGGCAGGGUGAGUCGACCCCUAAGGCGAGGCCGAAAGGCGUAGUCGAUGGGAAACAGGUUAAUAUUCCUGUACUUGGUGUUACUGCGAAGGGGGGACGGAGAAGGCUAUGUUGGCCGGGCGACGGUUGUCCCGGUUUAAGCGUGUAGGCUGGUUUUCCAGGCAAAUCCGGAAAAUCAAGGCUGAGGCGUGAUGACGAGGCACUACGGUGCUGAAGCAACAAAUGCCCUGCUUCCAGGAAAAGCCUCUAAGCAUCAGGUAACAUCAAAUCGUACCCCAAACCGACACAGGUGGUCAGGUAGAGAAUACCAAGGCGCUUGAGAGAACUCGGGUGAAGGAACUAGGCAAAAUGGUGCCGUAACUUCGGGAGAAGGCACGCUGAUAUGUAGGUGAAGUCCCUUGCGGAUGGAGCUGAAAUCAGUCGAAGAUACCAGCUGGCUGCAACUGUUUAUUAAAAACACAGCACUGUGCAAACACGAAAGUGGACGUAUACGGUGUGACGCCUGCCCGGUGCCGGAAGGUUAAUUGAUGGGGUCAGCGCAAGCGAAGCUCUUGAUCGAAGCCCCGGUAAACGGCGGCCGUAACUAUAACGGUCCUAAGGUAGCGAAAUUCCUUGUCGGGUAAGUUCCGACCUGCACGAAUGGCGUAAUGAUGGCCAGGCUGUCUCCACCCGAGACUCAGUGAAAUUGAACUCGCUGUGAAGAUGCAGUGUACCCGCGGCAAGACGGAAAGACCCCGUGAACCUUUACUAUAGCUUGACACUGAACAUUGAGCCUUGAUGUGUAGGAUAGGUGGGAGGCUUGGAAGUGUGGACGCCAGUCUGCAUGGAGCCGACCUUGAAAUACCACCCUUUAAUGUUUGAUGUUCUAACGUUGACCCGUAAUCCGGGUUGCGGACAGUGUCUGGUGGGUAGUUUGACUGGGGCGGUCUCCUCCUAAAGAGUAACGGAGGAGCACGAAGGUUGGCUAAUCCUGGUCGGACAUCAGGAGGUUAGUGCAAUGGCAUAAGCCAGCUUGACUGCGAGCGUGACGGCGCGAGCAGGUGCGAAAGCAGGUCAUAGUGAUCCGGUGGUUCUGAAUGGAAGGGCCAUCGCUCAACGGAUAAAAGGUACUCCGGGGAUAACAGGCUGAUACCGCCCAAGAGUUCAUAUCGACGGCGGUGUUUGGCACCUCGAUGUCGGCUCAUCACAUCCUGGGGCUGAAGUAGGUCCCAAGGGUAUGGCUGUUCGCCAUUUAAAGUGGUACGCGAGCUGGGUUUAGAACGUCGUGAGACAGUUCGGUCCCUAUCUGCCGUGGGCGCUGGAGAACUGAGGGGGGCUGCUCCUAGUACGAGAGGACCGGAGUGGACGCAUCACUGGUGUUCGGGUUGUCAUGCCAAUGGCACUGCCCGGUAGCUAAAUGCGGAAGAGAUAAGUGCUGAAAGCAUCUAAGCACGAAACUUGCC